GAUGAACGCUAGCUACAGGCUUAACACAUGCAAGUCGAGGGACCGGCGCACGGGUGUGUAACACGUAUCAAACCUGCCCUUUACUCGGGGAUAGCCUUUCGAAGGAUAGAUUAAUACCCGAUGUAAAGGAUGGGGAUGCGUUGCAUUAGGUUGUUGGUGAGGUAACGGCUCACCAAGCCUUCGAUGGAUAGGGGUUCGGAGAGGAAGGUCCCCCAGAUUGUAACUGAGACACGGCUCAAACUCCUACGGGAGGUAGCAGUGAUGAAUAUUGGUCAAUGGGCGUUAGCCUGAACCAGCCAAGUAGCGUGAAGGAUGAAGGCUUAUGGGUCGUAAACUUCUUUUAUAUAAGAAUAUGUAUUAUAUGAAUAAGGAUCGGCUAACUCCGUGCCAGCAGCCGCGGUAAUUC
rnacentral:rRNA from 1 species